rnacentral:rRNA from 1 species
AGUACCAGCACGUUAUGGUGGGCACUCUAAGGAGACUGCCGGUGACAAACCGGAGGAAGUGGGGAUGACGUCAAGUCAUCAUGGCCCUUACGGCCUGGGCUACACACGUGCUACAAUGGUCGGUACAAAGGGUUGCCAAGCCGCGAGGUGGAGCUAAUCCCAUAAAACCGAUCGUAGUCCGGAUCGCAGUCUGCAACUCGACUGCGUGAAGUCGGAAUCGCUAGUAAUCGUGAAUCAGAAUGUCACGGUGAAUACGUUCCCGGCCUU